rnacentral:sRNA from 1 species
AUCUCUUGGUACAUGAGUGGCUACCACACUGGCUACUAUAUGGGUUUCAGACAAAAUAAAAAAGAAGGAAAGUGCUCACAUACAAAUUAAGAAAAUGAAAGUCAAGUUUCCACAGACGACAGUGAACACUCCUCCAGAUCGCUCAGAAGUAAAGCACACAGCAAGUCCAAAGCUGCUCCGUGGACCUCAUUUCUUCCUCCACCACCCCCAAUGCCAGGGUCAGGAUUAGGACCAGGAAAGCCAGGUCUAAAAUUCAACGGCCCGCCGCCGCCGCCUCCACUACCACCUCCCCCCUUCCUGCCGUGCUGGAUGCCCCCGUUCCCUUCAGGACCACCAAUAAUCCCGCCACCCCCUCCCAUCUCUCCCGACUGUCUGGAUGACAC